GUAGAUAUAGUUCAAUGGUAGAACGAUGGUUUGUGGUCCCAUAGGUUGGGGGUUCGAUCCCCUCUAUUUACC
rnacentral:tRNA from 1 species